rnacentral:rRNA from 1 species
CUACAGAACGAACGCUGGCGGCAUGCCUAACACAUGCAAGUCGAACGAGACCUUCGGGUCUAGUGGCGCACGGGUGCGUAACGCGUGGGAACCUGCCUUUAGGUUCGGAAUAACUCAGAGAAAUUUGAGCUAAUACCGGAUAAUGUCUUCGGACCAAAGAUUUAUCGCCUUUAGAUGGGCCCGCGUUGGAUUAGCUAGUUGGUGGGGUAAAGGCCUACCAAGGCGACGAUCCAUAGCUGGUCUGAGAGGAUGAUCAGCCACACUGGGACUGAGACACGGCCCAGACUCCUACGGGAGGCAGCAGUGGGGAAUAUUGGACAAUGGGCGAAAGCCUGAUCCAGCAAUGCCGCGUGAGUGAUGAAGGCCUUAGGGUUGUAAAGCUCUUUACCCGAGAUGAUAAUGACAGUAUCGGGAGAAUAAGCUCCGGCUAACUCCGUG